rnacentral:lncRNA from 1 species
AGUUUUCGAAUUUUCUAAAAAUAUGGUGGUGUAGGGAGCAAUGUGGGAUGGUGUAGGGAGUAAUCCUCUAAUUAUAGUCACUUUAAUCACUUCAAGCAAAAGAAUGCAAUGAAACUUCAUAAAUUGAAUGAUCAAGUCCAAAGAAGAAAAUUGAAAAUAAGAAAAACUUCUUUCAACCAUGCCCAUAACUGUAUAACAAUAGAAUAAUGAAAGAAAAAAUGGGAGAAAACUUCAAGAUUAUUAUUACACAAAUAACACAGAGUAUAAAAUCACUAUUUUUUUUGGACAUUCAAAUCAAUAAGUAAAUGACCACACAAUAAUUUCCAAAGAACCAAAGUUUUAGUUGAUGGCCCUUCAUCCAACUAAAUUAAGUUCUCUCAAUCCACACAUUCCAUACCCUAAGAGUAAAAAAAUAUUUGUAACUUUUUGAGAAAGCACAAAACUAUCAUCCAAAAUCCAAUUAGGGAUAUCCUCGUCCUCAUUAACCAUUAAAGAAGAAAAAUCAUAUAGAUUGACAACAAAAGAAAAAAAUUUUCAGUAAGUACUUGUCGAGCCCGAACUAACAAGAGAGUAUAACCUUAUCCUAUUAAAAUAAAGAAUUCUAUAGUUAGGCAAAUGUAAGAAUACCAAUAAUUGUUUCAAAGAUUAAUACAAUAACCUUUACCUAAUGAACAAAAAGUAUUUUCAAGAACAACAUCAUAUAUUCUUAAUAUCAUGCCACAUUGACGAUGAUUUAAAUAACAUAUAUUUCUAAUACUUAAAAAUCGAAUACACGUCAAUUUAGUUCAAAUCAUUUCAAACUCUCAUGCUAAACCUAACAAUAAAUUUUGUUCUCUAAAUAAAUAUUAAAAAUAUAAAUUUUUACCUAUUAGUAUUUUAAAGAUGGAUUUUCUUACUUUUCCAAUCAUCAACCCAAUAAAAUAAUCUAACACAUCUAUUAAGAAUUCUACUUAUAUUUAAAUAU